GACGAACGCUGGCGGCGUGCUUAACACAUGCAAGUCGAACGGAAAGGCCCAGCUUGCUGGGUGCUCGAGUGGCGAACGGGUGAGUAACACGUGGGUGAUCUGCCCCUAACUUCGGGAUAAGCUUGGGAAACUGGGUCUAAUACCGGAGAGGACAAUCGUUUCGUGUCGGUUGUGGAAAGUUUUUUCGGUUAGGGAUGAGCCCGCGGCCUAUCAGCUUGUUGGUGGGGUAAUGGCCUACCAAGGCGUCGACGGGUAGCCGGCCUGAGAGGGUGGACGGCCACAUUGGGACUGAGAUACGGCCCAGACUCCUACGGGAGGCAGCAGUGGGGAAUAUUGCACAAUGGGCACAAGCCUGAUGCAGCGACGCCGCGUGGGGGAUGACGGCCUUCGGGUUGUAAACCUCUUUCGACAGGGACGAAGCUUUGGUGACGGUACCUGUAUAAGAAGCACCGGCUAACUACGUG
rnacentral:rRNA from 1 species